CCUACGGGGGGCAGCAGUGAGGAAUAUUGGUCAAUGGACGAGAGUCUGAACCAGCCAAGUAGCGUGAAGGAUGACUGCCCUAUGGGUUGUAAACUUCUUUUAUAUGGGAAUAAAAUGUUCCACGUGUGGGAUUUUGUAUGUACCAUAUGAAUAAGGAUCGGCUAACUCCGUGCCAGCAGCCGCGGUACUACGGAGGAUCCGAGCGUUAUCCGGAUUUAUUGGGUUUAAAGGGAGCGUAGGUGGAUUGUUAAGUCAGUUGUGAAAGUUUGCGGCUCAACCGUAAAAUUGCAGUUGAAACUGGCAGUCUGGAGUACAGUAGAGGUGGGCGGAAUUCGGGGUGUAGCGGUGAAAUGCUUAGAUAUCACGAAGAACUCCGAUUGCGAAGGCAGCUCACUGGACUGCAACUGACACUGAGGCUCGAAAGUGUGGGUAUCAAACAGGAUUAGAUACCCCAGUAGUC
rnacentral:rRNA from 1 species